AUAUUAAUAAGCGGAGGAAAAGAAACUAACAAGGAUUCCCUUAGUAACGGCGAGUGAAGUGGGAAGAGCUCAAAAUGAAAUCGGUGUGUCUAGCGAUACAUCGAGUUGUAGCCUAGAGAUGCCAUGUUAGUGUACGGCUCGGAUCCAAAUCUUUUGGAAUAAGGUGUCAUAGAGGGUGAGAACCCCGUCUCUGAUCCAGAGUCCGUCGCGUACGACUGGUAUUCAAAGAGUCGAGUUGUUUGGGAUUGCAACUCUAAAUGGGUGGUAAACUUCAUCAUAAAGCUAAAUAUAAGCCGC
rnacentral:rRNA from 1 species